rnacentral:rRNA from 1 species
AGCGAACGCUGGCGGCAGGCUUAACACAUGCAAGUCGAGCGCCGUAGCAAUACGGAGCGGCAGACGGGUGAGUAACGCGUGGGAACGUGCCCUAAGGUACGGAACAACCAAGGGAAACUUUGGCUAAUACCGUAUGUGCCCGAGAGGGGAAAGAUUUAUCGCCUUAGGAGCGGCCCGCGUCUGAUUAGCUAGUUGGUGAGGUAAUGGCGCACCAAGGCGACGAUCAGUAGCUGGUCUGAGAGGAUGAUCAGCCACACUGGGACUGAGACACGGCCCAGACUCCUACGGGAGGCAGCAGUGGGGAAUAUUGGACAAUGGGCGCAAGCCUGAUCCAGCCAUGCCGCGUGAGUGAUGAAGGCCUUAGGGUUGUAAAGCUCUUUCGACGGGGAAGAUAAUGACGGUACCCGUAGAAGAAGCCCCGGAUAACUUCGUGCCAGCCGCCGCCGUAA